ensembl:snRNA U2 U2 spliceosomal RNA
AUCGCUUCUCGGCCUUUUGGCUAAGAUCAAGUGUAGUAUCUGUUCUUAUCAGUUUAAUAUCUGAUAUGUCCUCUAUACGAGGACAAACAUAUUAAAGUGAUUUUUAGAGCUGGGAGCUGAAAAAGGGGCUUGCUCCGUUCGCUCCACGCAUCGUCCCGGCAUUGCAGUGCCGCCGGGUACGGUGCAACCUUC